AUUGAACGCUGGCGGCAGGCUUAACACAUGCAAGUCGAGCGAGCGGCGGACGGGUGCGUAAUGUCUGGGAAACUGCCUGAUGGAGGGGGAUAACUACUGGAAACGGUAGCUAAUAACGCAUACCAUCGGAUGUGCCAAGAUGGGAUUAGCUGGUAGGUGGGGUAAAGGCUCACCUAGGCGACGAUCCCUAGCUGGUCUGAGAGGAUGACCAGCCACACUGUAACUGUGACAGGGUCCAUACUCCGACGGCAGGAAGCAGUGGGGAAUAUUGCACAAUUGGCGCAAGCCUAAUGCAGCCAUGCCGCUAGUAUGAAGAAGGCCUUCGGGUUGUAAAGUACUUUCAGCGGGGAGGCGUUACCCGCAGAAGAAGCACCGGCUAACUCCGUGCCAACAGCCGCGGUAAUAC
rnacentral:rRNA from 1 species